rnacentral:rRNA from 1 species
UACGUAGGGUGCAAGCGUUAUCCGGAAUUAUUGGGCGUAAAGAGCUCGUAGGCGGUUUGUCGCGUCUGCUGUGAAAACUGGAGGCUCAACCUCCGGCCUGCAGUGGGUACGGGCAAACUAGAGUGCGGUAGGGGAGAUUGGAAUUCCUGGUGUAGCGGUGGAAUGCGCAGAUAUCAGGAGGAACACCGAUGGCGAAGGCAGAUCUCUGGGCCGUAACUGACGCUGAGGAGCGAAAGCGUGGGGAGCGAACAGG